CCCCUGGCUGCUGCGUGGAGAAAGGCUUUGAGGAACACUGACUGUAGCAGGAGACAUUCUUGGCUCUGGACAAGGAGAGGUGAGACAAAGGAGGCACAGAGAGGUUAACUGACUUUCCUGAGGUCACACAGCAAGUCUGAUGAAGAGUUCCAGUAGAAGCAUCAGCCAGUCAUUAAUUCCAGGGCAGGGUGCACAUGGAACCGGAAGGGGUGGCUGGCCAGGUAGGAGGCAGCCCCUCACCAGGGAGAGGAAAGAGUGCUCCUCUCUCCAGCCUCGCUGUGGCCUUUAACUUGCUUCACCAGGUGUCCAGAAUCACAGCUCUUUACAAGGCUGAAACCGAAGCCGCCUGAGGUUCCCGGGAGACUUGCUAAAACUUCAGCUGCACCCAGUUUAGCAGAGCAACUUGAAAGUUAAUCAGCGGUGAGGGACAAUUUGCCUCAUUAUUUCCAGCCCUGGAAUUUGGCGGCAGAUGGAAUUUGGGGCCUGGUGUGGACACGGCAAUGAACACAGCAAGGACUGUCGCCCCUUGGUAUGGCCUUGUGGGGUCUGGGCUUGGAUGGGCUGAUACUCCCUCUGAAGAUGGGCGGUGCCAGGAAGGAUUUCCCACUUGACAGAACAAGGGCAAUAAGGCUGCCCUAUCCCAGGUCCAGGCCAGUGUGGAGUAAUCCUUAGAUACACAAUUCUGAGCACAUAUUCGGACUGAACCCUGCACUGGAUUCUGGGGAAACAGAGGUGGAAUCCGAUACAGUUGCAUCCAAUAUAGGACGCAGACCAGAGGCACUGGGGUAAAUUCCCACAGGAGAGGAACACCUGUGGCUGGCACCGUCUGCAUGAAUCUGCGAAAAACAAAUCUGCCCCACUUGCCCUCACUUUCUCAAUAAGGUCCACUCAGACCCUUGACUUUAAUGUUAACCCCCUCCCAGGCACUCCCACCUCCACACUGUGUCAUACUCUCCACAGCACGUAGCACUGACCACCUUCCAACACACUAUGUUAGUUCCUCACUUAUCAUGUUUAUUGUUUAUCACAUCACCUUCCACAGGAAGGUAAGACCCUCCUUCCAUGAGGGCAGGAAUGUUUGUUUUGUUCAUUAAUGUAUCUCCAGCCCCAGCACAUAAAAUGCACUCAAUAAAUGUCAU